GUGCCAGCAGCCGCGGUGAUACGUAGGGUGCGAGCGUUGUCCGGAUUUAUUGGGCGUAAAGGGCUCGUAGGUGGUUGAUCGCGUCGGAAGUGUAAUCUUGGGGCUUAACCCUGAGCGUGCUUUCGAUACGGGUUGACUUGAGGAAGGUAGGGGAGAAUGGAAUUCCUGGUGGAGCGGUGGAAUGCGCAGAUAUCAGGAGGAACACCAGUGGCGAAGGCGGUUCUCUGGGCCUUUCCUGACGCUGAGGAGCGAAAGCGUGGGGAGCGAACAGGCUUAGAUACCCUGGUAGUCC
rnacentral:rRNA from 1 species